GGUGCAUGGCGGCAGCUACACAUGCAGUCGAGCGGGGUUUUCGGACCUAGCGGCGGACGGGUGAGUAAUGCGUAGGAAGCUGCCCGAUAGAGGGGGAUACCAGUUGGAAACGACUGUUAAUACCGCAUAAUGUCUACGGACCAAAGUGUGGGACCUUCGGGCCACAUGCUAUCGGAUGCGCCUACGUGGGAUUAGCUAGUUGGUGAGGUAAUGGCUCACCAAGGCGACGAUCUCUAGCUGGUUUGAGAGGAUGAUCAGCCACACUGGAACUGAGACACGGUCCAGACUCCUACGGGAGGCAGCAGUGGGGAAUAUUGGACAAUGGGCGCAAGCCUGAUCCAGCCAUGCCGCGUGUGUGAAGAAGGCCUUCGGGUUGUAAAGCACUUUCAGCGAGGAGGAAGGGGUAGUCGUUAAUAGCGGCUACUUUUGACGUUACUCGCAGAAGAAGCACCGGCUAACUCUGUGCCAGCAGCCGCGGUAAUACAGAGGGUGCAAGCGUUAAUCGGAAUUACUGGGCGUAAAGCGCACGUAGGCGGUUGGUUAAGUUGGAUGUGAAAGCCCCGGGCUCAACCUGGGAAUUGCAUUCAAAACUGGCCAACUAGAAUAUGGGAGAGGGGGGUAGAAUUCCAAGUGUAGCGGUGAAAUGCGUAGAGAUUUGGAGGAAUACCAGUGGCGAAGGCGGCCCCCUGGCACGAUACUGACGCUGAGGUGCGAAAG
rnacentral:rRNA from 1 species